rnacentral:rRNA from 1 species
CUACGGGGCGCUCCAGUGAGGAAUAUUGCACAAUGGGGGGAACCCUGAUGCAGCAACGCCGCGUGGAGGAUGACGCAUUUCGGUGUGUAAACUCCUUUUAUAUGUCAAGAAAAUGACGGUAGCAUAUGAAUAGGCACCGGCUAACUCCGUGCCAGCAGCCGCGGUAAUACGGAGGGUGCAAGCGUUACUCGGAAUCACUGGGCGUAAAGGACGCGUAGGAGGGUUGGAAAGUCAGGUGUGAAAUCCUACAGCUUAACUGUAGAACUGCACUUGAAACUUCUAAUCUAGAGUAUGGGAGGGGGAGAUGGAAUUAGUGGUGUAGGGGUAAAAUCCGUAGAUAUCACUAGGAAUACCUAAAGCGAAGGCGAUCUCCUGGAACAUUACUGACGCUAAGGCGUGAAAGCGUGGGGAGCAAACAGGAUUAGAUACCCCAGUAGUC